rnacentral:rRNA from 1 species
UACGAAGGGGGCUAGCGUUGCUCGGAAUCACUGGGCGUAAAGCGCACGUAGGCGGCUUCUUAAGUCAGGGGUGAAAUCCUGGAGCUCAACUCCAGAACUGCCUUUGAUACUGAGUAGCUUGAGUCCGGGAGAGGUGAGUGGAACUGCGAGUGUAGAGGUGAAAUUCGUAGAUAUUCGCAAGAACACCAGUGGCGAAGGCGGCUCACUGGCCCGGUACUGACGCUGAGGUGCGAAAGCGUGGGGGAGCAAACAGG